AACGAACGCUGGCGGCAUGCCUAACACAUGCAAGUCGAACGGGAUCCUAGCUUGCUAGGUGAGAGUGGCGGACGGGUGAGUAACACGUGGGAAUCUGCCUUUUGGUUCGGGAUAACCGCGGGAAACUGCGGCUAAUACCGAAUGCCCUCGAGAGAGGAAAGAUUUAUCGCCAGAAGAGGAGCCCGCGUCCGAUUAGGUAGUUGGUGGGGUAAAGGCCUACCAAGCCGACGAUCGGUAGCUGGUCUGAGAGGAUGAUCAGCCACACUGGGACUGAGAUACGGCCCAGACUCCUACGGGAGGCAGCAGUGGGGAAUAUUGGACAAAUGGGGGCGAACCCUGAUCCAGCAAUGCCGCGUGAGUGAUGAAGGCCUUAGGUUGUAAGACUCUUUUGUCCAGGGAAGAUGAUGACUGUACCUGGAGAAUAAAGACCCCGGGCCUAACUUCGUGCCAGCAGCCGCGGU
rnacentral:rRNA from 1 species